CCUACGGGAGGCAGCAGUGAGGAAUCUUGGUCAAUGGGCGUAAGCCUGAACCAGCCAAGUCGCGUGAGGGAUGAAGGUUCUAUGGAUCGUAAACCUCUUUUAUAAGGGAAUAAAGUGUGGGACGUGUCCUGUUUUGUAUGUACCUUAUGAAUAAGGAUCGGCUAACUCCGUGCCAGCAGCCGCGGUAAUACGGAGGAUCCGAGCGUUAUCCGGAUUUAUUGGGUUUAAAGGGUGCGUAGGCGGCCUUUUAAGUCAGCGGUGAAAGUCUGUGGCUCAACCAUAGAAUUGCCGUUGAAACUGGGAGGCUUGAGUAUGUUUGAGGCAGGCGGAAUGCGUGGGGUAGCGGUGAAAUGCUUAGAUAUCACGCAGAACCCCGAUUGCGAAGGCAGCCUGCCAAGCCAUGACUGACGCUGAUGCACGAAAGCGUGGGGAUCAAACAGGAUUAGAUACCCCAGUAGUC
rnacentral:rRNA from 1 species